GAAGCUGUUUUACAAUUUUGUAUAUCAGCUUGUCUAAGGUGAAGAGAAGAUAUGACUGAGCCCCAAUAAUAGCUCGGCAGUCAUCCUCGAACUUUGCAUUGUCAGAGGAACCAUCAAGUAGGUUAUAAAGUGCACUCCUGAAUCUGGAAUAUGAUUCAGUGGGGUUGAUUGCAUUCGAGACUCUCCAUCUGUGUUCAGCUGAUGAAGAAUGUGAUUUUGCUUUCUGUAGUCUUUCAUACAAUGUCUGGUGAAGUCUGAACAGCACAUAAAAUGAAUCAUUUCCAUAAAAUAUACGUGAUUCCUUCUCCCUGACAUGAAAUAUAGAAGGAACGUGCUUGGUUAGAGGCCUGGAUGUAUGUAGAAGGCGUUCUGAAAAUGGCAUAACAGCACCAUCUCCUUCAGCAUCAUGGGCAUCAGCAGUACCUUCCACCUCUCCUUCACUCUCUACCUUGUUAUCAUUCACAUCAUUGUCCCCAUCUUCUUCACGCUCUUCAUGAGAACCUUCUCCAUUAGCAGACUCACUACCUGAAACAUCACAAUUCUCAGAAGCAUUCUCACUGUCCUCUGAUGUCCCAUGAGCACUCGCUUCGCCUUCUUCAUCAGCAUCAUUCUCACAUCCUCUGUCUCCACCGCAAUUUUUUUCUUCUCCAUGUCCACUUUGGUAUAGCUUACUACUUGAACUUCCCUUUAAACUAUGCGAUACAUUUUGACCACCUUCACUCGAUGGUGUAAAAUUAUCCUCAAAAUCACCAUUUGGAGUUAAUUCACCCUCUUCUCGCUCAAGUUUACAUUUUCCUACGGAUUCCUCAAGACAUUUCUCAACUUUGAUACCUUCUGCCUUUGGGUCCACGAACCCUCCGUCCUUUGAGUCAUUAGAUGAUACUAUCUCAGGUUCACGUUUGAUUGUGGAACCACUAGGUCUGGAAGUGCCUGCACCAUGCCCUGAAGCAGUUUCUAUACAGACUCUUCCAUGGCUUUCCCCCACAGUAGUGCUGUUUGAAAGCACUAGCGGGUCAGCACAAAAAGCCUCUCUGCUGAGGCCAGAUGCCCCAUCUGCCAUGUUUAGAUUAGCGUCUGAUUUUCCAUGAUGAAGGAGGUUCUUCGAAGUUGCGAUUUUCAGCAUUACACCAUUUACAUUAGGAGAGCUAUCAUCCUUGAACCCAUUUUCACCAUCUGCUAUCUGAACUCUGGAAGAAAUUACAUGCUCAGAUGUAGGCAGUUCAUCUCCAUUCCUGGAACUGCUUUGUCUGCAAUUCAUGCCCGAGCCACUGGCAGGGCUACCAACCUUUUUCCCUUCAAUUGCUGUUUUAUCUUUAGCAUUAAGAUUUUUAGCCUUUUCAACAUCUACACCAUCCACUUCACCCUGAGGCGGACGAAGAACACCAAAUAUUGGUUCCAGGAAGGUGGUCCAAAUCUUCAUGACUUUAUCCAACUGUUCUCUUGUACAAACUUCUAUACAUGAAUACUUGAUGAUUUGAUAAAGGUCUUCGUGGAUGUCAGAAUCAGGAUACUCGAACUCCAGAUGUGUGAUAAUUGGUUGCCCAUUUCCAGCAGCAACAGAUAGCAGCACAUCAUCUUCUUUGCACUUAUUUUCACUAAUUUCUUUGAUCUCAGCCAGCAGUGCUUUAGUGCUCAAGCUUUUUGUGUCCUGCUGCUUGAAAUAAAAGCUACGAUGAUCCAGUGAUUUGUGAUAGUUCUUAGCAUAAAUCUCAGCCCAAACUUUAUUAAAAUCAGAACGACACCUCGCCCACUCCUCUUGUUUCUGCUUUAAGCGAGUAAGUAUAACUGGAAGGGCAAGUGGUGCAUUCUUCCUCAACACAU
rnacentral:misc_RNA from 1 species